GACGAACGCUGGCGGCGUGCUUAACACAUGCAAGUCGAGCGAGAAACUUCGGUUUCUAGCGGCGGACGGGUGAGUAACACGUGGGCAACCUGCCUCACAAUGGGGGAUAGCCUUCCGAAAGGAAGAUUAAUACCGCAUAACACACAGGAAACGCAUGUUUCUUUUGCCAAAGAAUUUCGUUGUGAGAUGGGCACGCGGCGCAUUAGCUUGUUGGUGAGGUAACGGCUCACCAAGGCGACGAUGCGUAGCCGACCUGAGAGGGUGAUCGGCCACAGUGGAACUGGGACACGGUCCAGACUCCUACGGGAGGCAGCAGUGGGGAAUCUUGCACAAUGGAGGAAACUCUGAUGCAGCAACGCCGCGUGAGUGAUGAAGGUCUGCGGAUUGUAAAGCUCUGUCUUCUGGGACGAUAAUGACGGUACCAGAGGAGGAAGCCACGGCUAACUACGUGCCAGCCGCCGCGGUAA
rnacentral:rRNA from 1 species